rnacentral:rRNA from 1 species
AACGAACGCUGGCGGCAUGCCUAACACAUGCCAGUCGAACGAGGCCUUCGGGUCUAGUGGCGCACGGGUGCGUAACGCGUGGGAACCUGCCCUUAGGUUCGGAAUAACUCCCCGAAAGGGGUGCUAAUACCGGAUAAUGUCUUCGGACCAAAGAUUUAUCGCCUUUGGAUGGGCCCGCGUUGGAUUAGCUAGUUGGUAGGGUAAAAGCCUACCAAGGCGACGAUCCAUAGCUGGUCUGAGAGGAUGAUCAGCCACACUGGGACUGAGACACGGCCCAGACUCCUACGGGAGGCAGGAGUGGGGAAUAUUGGACAAUGGGCGAAAGCCUGAUCCAGCAAUGCCGCGCGAGUGAUGAAGGCCUUAGGGUUGUAAAGCUCUUUUACCCGGGAUGAUAAUGACAGUACCGGGAGAAUAAGCGCCGGCUAACUCCGUG